AGCUUGAGCAUACUUCCGUACAGUUGGAGUCGCUAUGCCCAC
rnacentral:antisense_RNA from 1 species